rnacentral:lncRNA from 1 species
GCUAAAUCCAACACUGUGGCAUCUUGACUACGGUGGCCUGCUCAAUUAAUUCUGAACAGUAAAUUGCCUUUUACAGGUCUUCAGGUAGCUGGGUAAGAAGCGGCAAGGCAAACAAAGGGUCCUGGUAAUUGAAAACAACUGGUAAGGAUUGUUUUUCUUUUCUUUCAUGUUCUUCCUAAUUGAUGUGCUGAUUUGUAUAUGAACCUACAGAUGAGUCAAACCUAAGCAUUCGGCAUUGGGAGCACUGUCACUAAAACUGCAGCCUCAUUCAACAACACAUCCUUAUCGAGCACUUGCAGGUACUCCAUUGAAUGUUAGAAAUGCAUUGAUGAUGGAGACACAGCACCGGCUCAUGAGGACCUUCCAGCCUAGGCAGCAGGACUGGACAUACGCACUUUGGUAGAUUUAUUUUUAGAAAUUGGCUUAUGCAAGUGUGGGGCUGGCAAGUCUAACAACUGCAGGGCAGGUCAGGAGGCUGGAGACCCAGGGAAGAGUUGAUGCUGCAGUCUCUAGUCUGAAGGCAGUGCAGAGGCAGAAUUCCCUCUUUCUCGGAGGAUCUCAGGCUUUUUCUCCUAAGUCCUUCAACCAAGUGGAUGAGGCCACCCGCAUUAGAGAAGGGAAAGCUAGCUGAUAUGUUAUGAGGACAUUUGAGCAGCCCCAUGGAGAAGUCCACGUGGAAGGAACUGAGGCCUCUUGCUACCGUUAUGUGAGUGAGCCAUCUUGGAAGCAGAUCCUCCAGCCUGGUUGAUCCUUUGGAUGACUGCAGCCCCAGGUGCCAUCUUGACUACAACAUCAGGAAAGAUUCCAAAUUAGACUCCCCCAUCCC